GAUCAUGGCUCAGGACGAACGCUGGCGGCGUGCCUAACACAUGCAAGUCGAGCGAGUUGAUUCUCUUCGGAGAUGAAGCUAGCGGCGGACGGGUGAGUAACACGUGGGCAACCUGCCUCAUAGAGGGGAAUAGCCUCCCGAAAGGGAGAUUAAUACCGCAUAAGAUUGUAGCUUCGCAUGAAGUAGCAAUUAAAGGAGUAAUCCGCUAUGAGAUGGGCCCGCGGCGCA
rnacentral:rRNA from 1 species